rnacentral:rRNA from 1 species
UACGUAGGGGGCAAGCGUUGUCCGGAAUCAUUGGGCGUAAAGAGCGCGUAGGCGGCCCUGUAAGUCCGCUGUGAAAGUCAAGGGCUCAACCCCUUGAAUGCCGGUGGAUACUGCAGGGCUAGAGUCCGGAAGAGGCGAGUGGAAUUCCUGGUGUAGCGGUGAAAUGCGCAGAUAUCAGGAGGAACACCGAUGGCGAAGGCAGCUCGCUGGGACGGUACUGACGCUGAGGCGCGGAAAGCGUGGGGAGCAAACAGG